CCUACGGGAGGCAGCAGUAGGGAAUAUUGGACAAUGGCUUGAAAAGCUGAUCCAGCCAUCCCGCGUGAAGGCAGAAGGUCCUAUGGAUUGUAAACUUCUUUUCUCUGGGAAGAAAACCCCUUGAUUCUCAAGGGACUGACGGUACCAGAGGAAUAAGCACCGGCUAACUCCGUGCCAGCAGCCGCGGUAAUACGGAGGGUGCAAGCGUUAUCCGGAUUCACUGGGUUUAAAUGGGUGCGUAGGCGGGCUUGUAAGUCAGUGGUGAAAGCCCGGGGCUUAACUCCGGAAUUGCCGUUGAUACUGCAGGUCUCGAGUACAGUUGAGGUGGGCGGAAUACAUCAUGUAGUGGUGAAAUACUUAGAUAUGAUGUAGAACACCGAUUGCGAAGGCAGCUCACUAAAGUGUAACUGACGCUGAGGCACGAAAGCGUGGGGAUCAAACAGGAUUAGAUAGCCCUGGUAGUCCACGCCCUAAACGAUGUUCACUCGACAUUGGCGAUAUACUGACCAGUGUCUAAGCAAAAGCGUUAAGUGAACCACCUGGGGAGUACGACCGCAAGGUUGAAACUCAAAGGAAUUGACGG
rnacentral:rRNA from 1 species